rnacentral:rRNA from 1 species
GUGUUACUGACGCUAAAGCUCGAAAGUGCGGGUAUCGAACAGGAUUAGAUACCCUGGUAGUCCGCACGGUAAACGAUGGAUGCCCGCUGUUUGCCCUUCGGGGUGAGUGGCUAAGCGAAAGCGUUAAGCAUCCCACCUGGGGAGUACGCCGGCAACGGUGAAACUCAAAGGAAUUGACGGGGGCCCGCACAAGCGGAGGAACAUGUGGUUUAAUUCGAUGAUACGCGAGGAACCUUACCCGGGCUUGAAUUGCAGAUGACGGAUCUAGAGAUAGAGACUUCCUUCGGGACAUCUGUGAAGGUGCUGCAUGGUUGUCGUCAGCUCGUGCCGUGAGGUGUCGGCUUAAGUGCCAUAACGAGCGCAACCCUUCUCUUCAGUUGCCAUCAGGUUAAGCUGGGCACUCUGGAGACACUGCCACCGUAAGGUGUGAGGAAGGUGGGGAUGACGUCAAAUCAGCACGGCCCUUACGUCCGGGGCUACACACGUGUUACAAUGGCCGGUACAGAAAGUCGGAUGCCCGUAAGGUCAUUCUAAUCAAGAAAGCCGGUCCCAGUUCGGACUGAGGUCUGCAACCCGACCUCACGAAGCUGGAUUCGCUAGU